AGGGAUAACGAGAGCUUGUGGAGAGAACUGGACUCACUGAAACAGAAAUAUCAGCAGCAGCACAAAAUCAAACGUAAGAUUAUAACGUUCAUCAUCAACAUCCUUCAGUCAAAUGGGAUAAAAUGUUGCAAAAGAACAGGAAGUUUGUUCUCCUAAAGCACACAAAAUGUUCUCAUAGUCAGUGAGAAAUGUGAUUUGAAGAGGAAAGUGUGAUCUAAUUCAUGACUUCAUCGAACACAAUGCUGUUUAGUUAUAAAAAGAGCUUGAAAGAUAGAAAGCGUUCCCGUAACUCAAACUACAUGUUUAUCUCCCGCUUCCCCAACUCUGUCCUCCAUGGAGCUGGCGUUGAACUUGAGUCUGAGGAAAUACUCACUGAAAGCUUAGAUAGCAAACUGAUCUGUGUGCCAUUUUCUCUUAUAAUUACUGUAUCACAGAUCUCUGUUUUAUCAAUAACUGGAGCAGAUUCUUUUUCUUAUGAAAAAUGUUUUUGUUGUUGUGGUUAUUUUUCUUUCUAGAGAGACAAACCUCACUGCUUUAGUAACAGCUAACAAGCUUGUAUAGUCUUAUGUGUUUGAUUUCAUGUUCAUGAUCGAUGCUUAGUCCUGGCUGCCACAUCUCUGCUGUUAAAGACUCUGACACAAAAAGAGAAACCAGACACAGUUACACCGCAGAAGAGCCUGAAAUAAACUGCAGAGCGGGAGCAGGAGAGCUGUGAUAGUGGAGAGUUUUCAGAUAUAUCACCAUCCUUCAGCAACACUACACUGCCUUUAGAGUGCUCUUUUCUCAUUUAAAACUCGAAUGCAUCUGAUAUUGUGCUGUGGUGCUUGAUAGUAAAAGAAGUAUCUGAAACAGACAACUGUUGAUAGUUCUGCCAUUUAAUGAAAGGAUCAGUAUCAUUAUACGGCAAGCUGAUAUAUGUCAAUUGUAAAUGAUGUAAAUCAUGUACAUUUUCUGUUGUGAUUUUUAUCCAUCAGUGAACUCUAAACUCUAACUCUAGUGAUUUCACAACAAACUUUAGUCUAUUAGCAGAAUUGACCAUGUAGCGUGAAGCAAUAGACCAAACUGACAGAAAGCACUUUGAAUCAUCUGUCAGUGUUUUAAAUAAUUCAGUAAAUGACGGAAAUGUUUCUGUUAAUGCAACUUCUGCAAUAAAUGCCGUUUUAAAGUCA